rnacentral:rRNA from 1 species
AAAUUGAAGAGUUUGAUCAUGGCUCAGAUUGAACGCUGGCGGCAGGCCUAACACAUGCAAGUCGAGCGGUAGCACAGAGAGCUUGCUCUCGGGUGACGAGCGGCGGACGGGUGAGUAAUGUCUGGGAAACUGCCUGAUGGAGGGGAUAACUACUGGAAACGGUAGCUAAUACCGCAUAAUGUCGCAAGACCAAAGUGGGGGACCUUCGGGCCUCAUGCCAUCAGAUGUGCCCAGAUGGGAUUAGCUAGUAGGUGGGGUAACGGCUCACCUAGGCGACGAUCCCUAGCUGGUCUGAGAGGAUGACCAGCCACACUGGAACUGAGACACGGUCCAGACUCCUACGGGAGGCAGCAGUGGGGAAUAUUGCACAAUGGGCGCAAGCCUGAUGCAGCCAUGCCGCGUGUGUGAAGAAGGCCUUCGGGUUGUAAAGCACUUUCAGCGGGGAGGAAGGCGUUAAGGUUAAUAACCUUGGCGAUUGACGUUACCCGCAGAAGAAGCACCGGCUAACUCCGUGCCAGCAGCCGCGGUAAUACGGAGGGUGCAAGCGUUAAUCGGAAUUACUGGGCGUAAAGCGCACGCAGGCGGUCUGUCAAGUCGGAUGUGAAAUCCCCGGGCUCAACCUGGGAACUGCAUUCGAAACUGGCAGGCUAGAGUCUUGUAGAGGGGGGUAGAAUUCCAGGUGUAGCGGUGAAAUGCGUAGAGAUCUGGAGGAAUACCGGUGGCGAAGGCGGCCCCCUGGACAAAGACUGACGCUCAGGUGCGAAAGCGUGGGGAGCAAACAGGAUUAGAUACCCUGGUAGUCCACGCCGUAAACGAUGUCGAUUUGGAGGUUGUGCCCUUGAGGCGUGGCUUCCGGAGCUAACGCGUUAAAUCGACCGCCUGGGGAGUACGGCCGCAAGGUUAAAACUCAAAUGAAUUGACGGGGGCCCGCACAAGCGGUGGAGCAUGUGGUUUAAUUCGAUGCAACGCGAAGAACCUUACCUGGUCUUGACAUCCACAGAACUUUCCAGAGAUGGAUUGGUGCCUUCGGGAACUGUGAGACAGGUGCUGCAUGGCUGUCGUCAGCUCGUGUUGUGAAAUGUUGGGUUAAGUCCCGCAACGAGCGCAACCCUUAUCCUUUGUUGCCAGCGGUUCGGCCGGGAACUCAAAGGAGACUGCCAGUGAUAAACUGGAGGAAGGUGGGGAUGACGUCAAGUCAUCAUGGCCCUUACGACCAGGGCUACACACGUGCUACAAUGGCAUAUACAAAGAGAAGCGACCUCGCGAGAGCAAGCGGACCUCAUAAAGUAUGUCGUAGUCCGGAUUGGAGUCUGCAACUCGACUCCAUGAAGUCGGAAUCGCUAGUAAUCGUAGAUCAGAAUGCUACGGUGAAUACGUUCCCGGGCCUUGUACACACCGCCCGUCACACCAUGGGAGUGGGUUGCAAAAGAAGUAGGUAGCUUAACCUUCGGGAGGGCGCUUACCACUUUGUGAUUCAUGACUGGGGUGAAGUCGUAACAAGGUAACCGUAGGGGAACCUGCGGUUGGAUCACCUCCUUACCUUAAAGAA